AUACGUAGGGGGCGAGCGUUGUCCGGAAUUACUGGGCGUAAAGGGUGCGUAGGUGGCACUUUAAGUUGGAUGUGAAAUCCCCGUGCUUAACAUGGGAGCUGCAUCCAAUACUGGAGAGCUAGAGUGCAGGAGAGGUAAGCGGAAUUCCUAGUGUAGCGGUGAAAUGCGUAGAUAUUAGGAGGAACACCAGUGGCGAAGGCGGCUUACUGGACUGUAACUGACACUGAGGUACGAAAGCGUGGGGAGCAAACAGGAUUAGAUACCCUGGUAGUCCACGCUGUAAACGGUGAAUACUAGGUGUAGGAGGUAUCAACUCCCUCUGUGCCGCAGCAAACGCAAUAAGUAUUCCGCCUGGGGAGUACGGCCGCAAGGUUGAAACUUAAAGGAAGUGACGGG
rnacentral:rRNA from 1 species